UCUUGGCUCUCGCAUCGAUGAAGAACGCAUCGAAAUGCGAUAAGUAAUGUGAAUUGCAGAAUUCAGCGAAUCAUCGAAUCUUUGAACGCACCUUGCGCUCCUUGGUAUUCCGAGGAGCAUGCCUGUUUGAGUGUCAUGACAUUCUCAACCUUUUCAGCUUUUUGUUGAAUAGGCUUGGAAUUUGGGAGUUGUUGCAGGCUCCUCAGAAGUCUGCUCUCCUUAAAUGUAUUAGCGGGGCCCUUGUUGUCUAGCAUUUGGUGUGA
rnacentral:rRNA from 1 species